UGAGAUGAGUUGUUUCGUUUUGUCCACGGC
rnacentral:piRNA from 1 species